AUACUUACCUAAUACCGGGAACUCCGUGAUCAGGAAGGCAGAGACCCCAGAAGGAGGUCCUUCCAUUGCACAGCUGAGACCUGCCACUCCCCUAAACUGGGAAAGAUGGGGCAUGUGAUUUUUGGUAGAUUUUGCUAAUUUAUCAUACGAAUU
rnacentral:snRNA from 13 species